UACGGGGGGGGCAAGCGUUGUUCGGAAUUACUGGGCGUAAAGGGCUCGUAGGUGGCCAACUAAGUCGGACGUGAAAUCCCCCGGCUUAACCUGGGAACUGCGUCUGAUACUGGACGGCUUGAGUAUGGGAGAGGAAUGUAGAAUUCCAGGUGUAGCGGUGAAAUGCGUAGAUAUCAGGAAGAACACCCGUGGCGAAAGCGGCUCUCUGGAACGGUACUGACGCUGAGACGCGAAAGCGUGGGGAGCGAACAGG
rnacentral:rRNA from 1 species